AAUACGCGAAAACCUCCAAAAUCCCGCAAAAGCGCAUUAAGCAAUAGAUUUUUUUCGGAAAUUUCAUACCCCCCAAACCCACAAAAACCCCAACCCACCAAAACCCUGGGUAGCCAACCAUAUUCUCAGUAGCCCACAUACUCUCCAUAAAUUGCCUCCCAGCAUCUAAGAUCUCCGUCUUGAUCACAUCCUCCCCCUCACCCACAAAACUCACCACUAACACCGCGACAAUCGCGCCGCAUAAACCGAGAACAUACCACAGAGCUGGGAGCCCACUUUCCUGAGAAUUCACAAUCUUUGACUGUCUCGAAUUGGAACUGAAUUUUGCAAAUAAUUUUGCUGCUUCUCCUUCCCGAAACUUUUUCAUCAAACUUAAUUGCUUCCUCAUAUCCGCGACAGCUUCCCAUCUUCCCGAUAUCCUCGAUUCCUUUAGUCAUACGUUUGGAAAUUAUCCCCGAAAUCAAAUUCUGCCUGGGAUGGGAUACCCGGUAAAAUUGGAAGAGUAGAUGGUCCCGGCUGUCGGGGACUAACCGCUUCCCGAGUGUUUUUAAGGCCGAGGAAAAUUUGAUUAAUUCAUCGUCAUGGUCCACACUUAUAAUCUUGGAAUGCGUAAGAAUUUUAAUUUUUUUGAUAGAGAUGAUUUCCGAGUUGGAAAUAUUACUCGCAAUCGCGUUCAAAUCCUGAGCCCAGGGGGAAAGGAAGAUUACCCGGGAGACAAAGGACACCACAACGAUUUGUGCAAGGCUGAAUUCUAAAACUGUCAUUUCUCGUACCGAUUUUAUUCCGCGGCGCAGAAGCAGUUCAACUUUUCGUUCUUCUGGAUAUUCAACUAUGGUCAGAUGUUGGUUCACCUUCGAGGAGGCAUGGCUACCCAGUUACCCCACGCGACCACCUACCUGACCCGCAUGAGCUGGAGAAUCGCGUAUAAACAAGCCUCCAAAAAUUCGGCACCUUCCUCCAUCCCUGCGACCCUUACUAUCUCCUCUACUGCGAAAACAAAUUAAUCUACAAGACCACCUCGUGGACCUAUUGGAUUACCCCGUUCAGCCGGGAAGUCUGGUUCGCCCUGCUAAUUUCCAUCCUUCUAACGGCCCUCAUAUCGUCCCGAAUCUAUGAAUCUGUCGGAAUCCUCGAAAACUUGGUCAACAGUAUCGCGCUAACUUUAAAACAAGGCUUAUCUCGUAAUUUUUCCUGUUUCCACCUUUUCCUCACGUUCGUCAUCCUGGUUGCCGCCAACUUGUACGAAUCAAUAAUAACGAGCGAACUCGUCGUGACCCCGAAACCGCACGUUGCCGAUCUAAAAGAACUCUUUGUUUCUCGAGCCUACCGAAUUUUCUGGCCGGUCAUUGACCCCCGCAGAAUGGCGGGGCGCCCGCCCUAUCCGAAUUUCGGAGUGGAUUCGCCCGCUAUAACUUGACUUACUUACUCGACGAGCGAAUCAAGGGGUUCGACUUGCCCCGAAAGACACCCGGGGAUGAUUUGCUCGACAAGUUCGAAACCUUUAAAAACCCGGGCAACAAUCUCGCCACGGAUGUCUGGGGGAAUAGUAGGGGGUACAAAGAGAUCGAGUAUAAUGGCUUGGUCACCGGUAAGUUUUGUCACAUCGGGAAGGACAAGUUUUUCGAUCGGGUGUUAUCAAAUUAUGUUCAGGGACAUGGGUAUGAAGAGAUUUUGACCUGGCUAAAUUGGGCGAGGCAGGCGGGGAUUGUUAAAUUUUGGCGGGAUGGGCGGGACUAUACUGACACCAGAAAGAACUUGAAGGAGCAUUACCUUCGGUGGAAGAAGGUCGGGUUGACCAAGGGGAAGUGGGCGAGGGGCAGGGUGAAGGUGGAUUGGGAAGGAAUGGGGCUAAAUGAGAAAGUGGCGCAGUUGUUUGGUAUUUGUGGGGUGAUUCUGGUCACGGGUGGGGUAGUAUUUGUGGUAGAAAGGUUACGAACUGUGACUUAUGUUCAAAACGUAUAAAUUACUAUACUAGUUAUCCAUAUACUCCUUCUAUUAUCCAAACUUAUAAAUAUUGUUCUAGUUUGUGUUUAAAUUAAUGCCAAUUAUUUAUGCAAAUGUGAUUAAUUUACUGGAUUAGCUAUGACUAUGCUCCAGGUUUUAUUGAAGGGUUGAACUCAA